AGUAGAUCUCCAACAAUCAAAGCUAGACGUAGCAGGAGUAGAAGCUAUUCUCGCAGAAUUAAAAUAGAGAGCAAUAGGGCUAGGGUAAAGAUUAGAGAUAGAAGGAGAUCUAAUAGAAAUAGCAUUGAAAGAGAAAGACGACGAAAUCGGAGUCCUUCCCGAGAGAGACGUAGAAGUAGAAGUCGCUCAAGGGAUAGACGAACCAAUCGUGCCAGUCGCAGUAGGAGUCGAGAUAGGCGUAAAAUUGAUGAUCAACGUGGAAAUCUUAGUGGGAACAGUCAUAAGCAUAAAGGUGAGGCUAAAGAACAAGAGAGGAAAAAGGAGAGGAGUCGAAGUAUAGAUAAAGAUAGGAAAAAGAAAGACAAAGAAAGGGAACGUGAACAGGAUAAAAGAAAAGAGAAACAAAAAAGGGAAGAAAAAGAUUUUAAGUUCAGUAGUCAGGAUGAUAGAUUAAAAAGGAAACGAGAAAGUGAAAGAACAUUUUCUAGGAGUGGUUCUAUAUCUGUUAAAAUCAUAAGACAUGAUUCUAGACAGGAUAGUAAGAAAAGUACUACCAAAGAUAGUAAAAAACAUUCAGGCUCUGAUUCUAGUGGAAGGAGCAGUUCUGAGUCUCCAGGAAGUAGCAAAGAAAAGAAGGCUAAGAAGCCUAAACAUAGUCGAUCGCGAUCCGUGGAGAAAUCUCAAAGGUCUGGUAAGAAGGCAAGCCGCAAACACAAGUCUAAGUCCCGAUCAAGAUCAACAACCCCUCCCCGUCGUAAACGCUGAGGAAUGAUGUGGCAAGAAUGCCAUGAUGUUCUUUAAAAAAAUUCCAUGAGUUUUAAGGGCUUGUCUCAUUAUAGAGGCACAUUGUGGCUGUGUAGGUGAAACCAGAAUCUUUUUUUUUUUUAAUCUGUAAAUAGGUGUACUUUUUCCAAUGCUGCUCCAAGUUACUUAAUAGGAUUUCUUUGUAUUACGUUUUUUUCAAAAAAUAUAGUGCAUAAUAAGACUAUAAACAUGCCAUUCUCUUUCAGCUGUAAUGUUCUUAAAAUUAUUCUUGAAUGUACUGUGAUGUCAAUAAAGCUCUUUAGUUCAUUUUUGUUAAACUCUUGCACCUUAAUUUUAUGGUUUUAAUCUAAGGAACGUACUUUUAUAAAAAGGCAGCUGGAAUUUUGUAUAACAGGUUUUAAAGGUACCUUCUCUCACCUCCCCCAAAGAAAAUGGUUUUUACUUAAUAGUUUGUCAAAGUUUGUAAAUUGUACCCAUGGACUUUUGCCAGAUUCCAACUUUAAGGGUAUGAAAGAGGGCUAGAAAUAGACCUUUACUUUUCAUUUGGAAGUAUUUGACAACUUUCUAAACUUUUCUUCCUAUUUUGGGGAUUUUCAAGUAAUAUAUUCUCUGUGUGUAUAACGUGUGGUUCACUCCUGUAAAAUGAAAUUGCUGGAAUCAAUCAAGCCAGUGCACCAGUAGAGUUAUUUGUAAGGAACGAUUGUGUUUGACAGUAAUAGUCAAGUCUGGAACUAUAUUCUACAGUCACCCACUUCUGUUUUAGAAGCAUUUUGAAACACUUUUUGGGGUUAUAGAAAUAAGACUCAUGAUUCAAUAUAUUUAUUUAUAUUUUUAAAGUAUAAUAUGACCUCAAAUCAAUGGAGGAAUGCUGUAUUAUGCAGGUUUGUGUCAAUUUCCUGACAUUAAAAUUGUCUGAUUUUGUCCGUUUCUUAAAAUUAUGAUUAGUGAGUGGUCUAACAGUUUAAGGCAUUGAUAACUUACAAGUAGAAUGGGGCUCUCAAAGCAUUUUAACUCAGUUGCUUUAGGGUCCAUUUUUUUAUGUAAUCACUUACUCAGUGAUAAAUGAAUCUCUGAAAACAAAUGCUUUUACAUUUUAAUUUAAAAAGAAAACAGGUGCAGGCCACAGAAAAGUUUUAAAGUAUGCCUUCUUACCAGCAAUAGUUCAUUUUAAAAAUCAUGCCAGAUUUUUGCCAAGAUCAGUGUUUCCUCAACAUGAAGAUAGAAAUAGAUUUGUAUAGUGUGCUCUUGUACCUCUACAUAGAUUAUUAUAUAAUUUUGAGCAGUUACACAUUUAUCUAAAGGAAAUAAAUCAACUGUGAAUAAAUGCAUGUUUAC
rnacentral:lncRNA from 10 species